rnacentral:lncRNA from 1 species
AUGAAGAGAAACUCGAAAACUCAAGCAAGAGUCUGCUUCCCUUUAAUUGUUUUUGCCUCUGACUUGUAUUGCCUUUUAUUGCCUCUACUUAUGGCAGUAGAAGCUGCGAGCAUGGUAAGGAAAAAAGAGACAGCUAAAACUGACUUGGCACUGAAUCCUGUCACACAGCAUUGCAGGCUUUCUCUUCCCUUUGGUGGCUCACUUCUGGAUCUGCAAUACUUACUCGUAAGAAAAAGGAAAUGAUGAUUAAGGACAUUAAAUGAAAAAGGUGUCUUCCAACUACCCUACCUGGAGAUCAAAAUAAUCUACCAUGCCUGGAAAACAGCAAGAGAGCCUCAUGGUCAUGAUGGAUACAACAAAGUCCUGUCUUGAGAAACAAUCACAAAUUUGUUUUCUUAUCAUCUAUUUCUGAACAACUGCAAACUGAAUUUCAAAAACUUGACUGCAUGUCAGUUAUUCUUUCUAUUGAAAACUACUUGUUUUGCACCAUUUUGAUACAUGGACCAAAAUAAAGAUAGAGAGGUUAUCUUCUCUAUGGUAACUACACAACAAAGAACGUUUUCUUCGUACAAGAAGAGUUUCACAUAGCUACAUUUUUCACCAUUUAAGACCCAAGUUCUUUCAUUUUUCCAAGUAAUCCAAAUAAUAACUAACGCUUAUUAUGCUCCAGAUAUUACUUCUCGUGCCUUCCACAAGCUAUCUCAUUUAAUUCUUGCAAUUAUUCUAUGGGUUAAGACUAAUAUUAAUUCUAUUAUAUAGAUGAGGAAACUGAGCCUCAUGGAAGUUAUAUAAUUUGCUCAUGGGGAGAUGCUCAACAUGUGCUAGAGCUGGGAUUUGAACCCAGACAGUCUGGAGCAUCAUGAGAGUUUACAUUUUAAUAAUCACAAUAAUUUAUAACAUGUCCAAGGUCAAACUCAGUAUUUCACUCCUCUUUUAAACUUUUCCUCAUUCUUGGGGGUGGGGGGUAGAAAGAAACUUUUCCUCAUUCUUUAUCUUGUAUUUGAGUAUCUCACAACCAUCCCCUCCAAUUGCAUAUAAGCAAUCAUCGAAUCUUACAGACUUUUUAACUCUUUAUCUCUUUCAUGAGGUCUAUAUUCAUAUACACAUCUGCCUACUAAAAU